rnacentral:rRNA from 1 species
UACGGGGGAGCAAGCGUUGUUCGGAUUACUGGGCGUAAAGGGCGCGUAGGCGGCCACCGCAAGUCGACUGUGAAAUCUCCGGGCUUAACCCGGAAAGGUCAGCCGAUACUGCGGGCUAGAGUGCAGAAGGGCAACUGGAAUUCUCGGUGUAGCGGUGAAAUGCGCAGAUAUCAGGAGGAACACCAAUGGCGAAGGCAGCUCGCUGGGACGUGACUGACGCUGAGACGCGAAAGCGUGGGGAGCAAACAGG